GAUGAAGAACGUAGCGAAAUGCGAUACGUAAUGUGAAUUGCAGAAUUCAGUGAAUCAUCGAGUCUUUGAACGCACAUUGCGCCCUCUGGUAUUCCGGAGGGCAUGCCUGUCCGAGCGUCAUUAUAACCCCUCAAGCUCAGCUUGGUGUUGGGGCCUGCCGCACGGGCAGCCCUUAAAAUCAGUGGCGGUGCCAUCUGGCUCUAAGCGUAGUAAUUCUUCUCGCUAUAGAGUCCCGGUGGAUGCUUGCCAUUAACCCCCAAUUUUCUAUGGUUGACCUCGGAUCAGGUAGGGAUACCCGCUGAACUUAAGCAUAUCAAUAAGCGGAGGA
rnacentral:misc_RNA from 1 species